rnacentral:rRNA from 1 species
UACGGAGGUUGCAAGCGUUGUUCGGAAUUACUGGGCGUAAAGGGAGCGCAGGCGGUUGGGUAAGUCUAAAGUGAAAGCCCGGGGCUUAACUCCGGAAGUGCUUUGGAUACUGCCCGACUUGAGUUCGUGAGAGGAAAGCGGAAUUCCAGGUGUAGCGGUGAAAUGCGUAGAUAUCUGGAGGAACACCGGUGGCGAAGGCGGCUUUCUGGCGCGAUACUGACGCUGAGGCUCGAAAGCUAGGGGAGCAAACGGG